UACGUAGGGGGCGAGCGUUGUCCGGAUUCAUUGGGCGUAAAGAGCUCGUAGGCGGCUUGGUUAGUCGGGUGUGAAACCUCCAGGCUCAACCUGGAGUCGCCACCCGAUACUGCCAUGGCUAGAGUCCGGUAGGGGACCAUGGAAUUCCUGGUGUAGCGGUGAAAUGCGCAGAUAUCAGGAGGAACACCAGUGGCGAAGGCGACUCUUUGGCCUGUAACUGACGCUGAGGCACGAAGGCCAGGGGAGCAAACGGG
rnacentral:rRNA from 1 species